UUGUGGAGAGAAGUAAAAUGAGUCAGCUUGCAUCAGCUGUGAAAAUAUCUAAGGUGUUUUACCUCUCUGAAGGUUUGGCCUUUAUUUCCCAGCAAAACUUUGAGUAGCUGCUUAAAAAGUUGGAAGUCCUGCAUAACACCAGCAUUGAAGGACUGUAAGCAGGACAGCCUCAACAAGGGAGCGGGUAUUUGUCCUGCUGCAAGUUUUGUGUAUGUUUGACAAAUUGUCAUAAGAAGAGGUCUCCAGGACUCUUGUUUCUCUAAGUGCUGAAGGAAUUUGCUACCUCCAGUCCAGGACAGAGACUGAACAUCUGCAAUGAGGAGGAAGGAAUUUACUAAUAAUACGGAGCUUGGUCAUGCUUCUCAAGAUGAGUUCUAAAAGAUCAUCCUCAAAAACAUUAUGCUCUUCAUGACAUCAGUGCCAGUUUCAAGUGAGCCCUUGUCAUGUGCAGCUGGACUCUCACCAGAGCAUCUCAUGCAGUAACAAGCACAGUGAAACUUUAAUUCCCUCUUUGGCAUUCAACGUAUCAUUCUUUGUAAGCUAAAAUCAGCACAAAUGUCAGCCCAGUAUCAGGAAGGUGACCCUGUUCUCCACCAGCAGUGUCUAUCACAUUAUUCAACCAAAAUUAGAACUAUCAAGUCUUAAUAAGAUCUCGGUUGACAGAAAAGCAGACUAUUUUUUUCAAAAAUAGAAAAAAAACUUAUCAAAACCAUCUUGUUGCAUACAAAUGGACCUGAAAUAUUGCAUUUAGUAGCUAAUAAACUUUUCCUUGAAUUGUCUAGUUGCUUGGUGAGGGACAAAACCCUAUUAUUAGUAUUAGGAAGUUAAAUCUUGGCACAUAUUCUCAAGGCCUUACUUGAAUAAAUAAGACAUUUCUUAUGUAGCAUUAAAGUACCUAACACUGGAACAGUACUUCAAGUAAGUUGCCACCAUCCUAAGAAAACAUGGGCAUUAAGACAUCUGAUGGUAAUAAAACCAGACUGUCAACAGAGACCAAUCUCCUUCCUCUAUUGUCUUCCUAUUUUUCAGAAAAAAAAAAAAAAAGAGAA